CAUAUGAGCAAACCUAGAGAAAUCUAGUGACGCAAAACUAUAGGGACUAAAGUUUAUAAAUAGACCAUGUCAGCCAGUUGCCGA
rnacentral:ncRNA from 1 species